CCCAGCCAUGGCCAGUUGGCCCAAAUAGCAUGCCAUGCCAGCUCAUGGUGGGUUUCUUUGCCUAUGCAAAAUCACUUGAAAUAAAUGUAGACAAGGAAGAGUUGGAAGAUGCUACAUGGCACAGCAGAGAAGACGUCCAAAAAGCAUUGAUGGUUGCAGAAUAUGAGAAGGCGCAAAGAACAGCAGCUGCCAAGGUUAAUCUGCUGAGAAAUUCUGUCCUUUCUCGACGCCCUUGCACAUCUGUUUUAAUUUAGAAAGUGGGGAGCUUGCUCCAAUGUUUUUCCCUGGCCCCUUUGCAAUUGCUCACCGC
rnacentral:misc_RNA from 1 species